CCUAUUAUUUGGCUCCUUUGCUUCUCCCCCUGUGCUGGAUUGGUGUGGCUGCGUUCAUCCUAAUUACAGGGCGGACCUAGGCAGACUUAUAUCUAGGAACGCAAAUUGCUACCUGGAUGUGCUACUUUCUCUCUUUCCCGUCUCCCGGGGCGCAUAGUAGUUUGGCGUGGAUCACAACUUGGAUGGUGAAGCCGCCAUCAAGUGAAUGCUCUCACGAGUAAGAGCUUGGUCUGUCCUGUCGGCGUUGAGGCCGGUGUAGCACUGUUGAGCCUGGUGUCUGCCUUAAAGCAGCUAGAGUGGUGUUGUCGGAGCUAACGCAGCUUCCCCCUCCCUCUCCCUCAACUUGAUGGUUAGGAACGAACUCUUUUUAACCUGAUAUAUGAAGUCGGCUGGCAUCGCCAAGUGUCUCCACGCCACACGCGGCUGCUGUUCUGUCUCUUACGAAGUUUAUCGCGUCCUCUUCAAUCCUCGGUUUGACGCUGGGGUUAUUGUGUAACCUACUGGUGGUAUUGUUUGUCGUACCAGUUGUGAUUGAUUGUGCAUGGGAUUCAUUUUGGACUGAUCUGCAUAACGCAUGUUUAGGGCUUUCUGGCCGUAUGGUGCAUGCUUUGCAUGUUUGAUUACUUGCUUCUUUCUGUGUAUUUGCAUGUGGUUUAUUAUGUUCUUUUCUUAUGCCUUUCCUUUUUGUUCCCUGUGAUGCAUGUUUAGAGCUGCUUUGCGCUGCAUGCACAUUUGAGUAUUUGCGGGGUUAACUCACCUGUAUCUUACAGCCCCUUCAUUGUAGUGUUGCAUUGUGGGAACUGCUGUGCAUGUGCAUGUGUGUGGUUGGUAGUGGUGUGUGUGAGCGUGUAUUUGUGUGCAGUAACGUUAUUCCCCCCAUCGCCGUGACCAGGGCGGUUGCACUGCUCCAGCUUGACCUCUGGGGGCUUCAACAUCUGUGGGGCGGCCAUUCCAGCCUCCAGCCCCACAGCUCAAAAGCUAAGUAUAACCAUACCGGCUAAUGCUAAGUUAGUGUGAUUGUGCUACCCACAGUUCUAACCAUAGUCUCUCCCCCCUCUCUCCCUUGUUCUCCUUUGGACAGGUGCGGUGUGGUCCAAGCGAGCGGCAGGCUCACCCUCAGGUGGUGGGGUCCCUUCACGUUUCCUGUAGCACACCUCGGGUGUCAAUCCUUAGCUUUGGAGUGCAGUGUGAUUGCAGUGUGAGUGCAGUGAUUGCAGUGUGAUUCUCACGUGUGAUUUGUGGGUGUCUUCUGGACCGCUUCCCUCCCCUCCUGUAGUCCUGCCGGUCGUGGUAAGCCCUCGCCCUGCUCCGUUUUCCCUUUUCUUGAGAUUGCCCAUAGACCUUGUGUGCCAGCUGACGUGCAGCCUCGCUGGUCACCGUAUGUACGGUAUGGUGUGUAUGUAUGUGUGUGUAUGUGUGUCGUGUCUCUCAUACUGGUAUCUUUCAGGGGAAUUGCCGAGACAUUUCCUCAGAGUUGGGUUUUAUAAUUGUAACUAAGAUCUGUCAAUAAAAUGUAUAUUUUUGGAA